rnacentral:rRNA from 1 species
UACAGAGGUCCCAAGCGUUGUUCGGAUUCACUGGGCGUAAAGGGUGCGUAGGCGGCCGGGUAAGUCUGAUGUGAAAUCUCACAGCUUAACUGUGAAACUGCAUUGGAUACUAUCCGGCUCGAGGAAUGGAGGGGAGACUGGAAUACUUGGUGUAGCAGUGAAAUGCGUAGAUAUCAAGUGGAACACCAGUGGCGAAGGCGGCUCACUGGACCGGUACUGACGCUGAGGCGCGAAAGCGUGGGGAUCAAACAGG